rnacentral:rRNA from 1 species
GACGAACGCUGGCGGCGUGCUUAACACAUGCAAGUCGAACGAAGAGCGAUGGAAGCUUGCUUCUCUCAAUCUUAGUGGCGAACGGGUGAGUAAUGCGUAAUCAACCUGCCCUUCAGGGGGGGACAACAGUUGGAAACGACUGCUAAUACCGCAUACGAUCUAAUCUCGGCAUCGAGGGAAGAUGAAAGGCGGUCUCUAUUUAUAAGCUAUCACUGCAGGUGGGGAGUGCGGCAGUUGAGGUAGUUGGAGGGGUUAAGGCCCACCUAGGCGAGGAUCAGUAGGCCGAAGGAGAGGAUGGAUAGCCGGACUGGGAGGGUGACACGGCCCAGACGGCUUGAGGAGCGGCCAAGAGGGAUACUGCCGGCAGGGGCGGGAAACAGUCCAAGAAACGCCGCGUGCGUGAUGACCGCCUUCGGGUUGUAAAGCACGGUUAUUCGGGACGAAAGGCCUUCUUGCGAACACUUAGAGGGAGUGACGGUACCGGAAUAAGAAGCACCGGCUAACUACGUG